UGUACGCUAACAUUGUCGCAUUAGGUUAAGUGCCUGUCAUGAUAAUGUUUGUAUUACAUAAAUAAAUAAAUAAAAAUAGUCGUUCCCUCUCUGUUGAGAGUCGAAGUGGUGUCAUUUACUCGACUACGACGAAUCAAAAAGGAAAGAUUUGCCGCAGAUGGCAUUAACUACUUGGUCGGACAAAUGGGGAGCGCUGAGGGCUCUAACCCGGUACAAAAUUGAAGACAACAGGCCUGAGGAUGCCCACUUGCGAACCUCGUGUUGAAUCGAGAGAGAAAAAAGGUGCGGUGCGUGUCCCUGAGCGCAGCCAGCCGCUGCGUGCGGGCGGCCAGCUCCUUCUGGCGGUGGCGCAGCGCGCGGCGGCGCAGCGCCCAG